rnacentral:pre_miRNA from 1 species
UAUAUACUCCCUCCGUUCUGAAUUACUUGUCGCAGGUAUGGAUGUAUCUAGAUGUAUUUUAGUUCUAGAUACAUCCAUUUCUGUGACGAGUAAUUUGGAACGGAGGAAGUAUAUA